CCUUAACGCCGAAAACCCAAGGUUUCCUACGCGAUGCUCGUCAUCGUAGGGUUAGUCGGGUCCUAAGUCGAGACUGAAAAGUGUAGACGAUGGCAAAUUGGUUAAUAUUCCAAUACCAACAUAUAAGCGCGAUGUGGGGACGCAUAGAGUUAGUCGAGCUCACUGAUGGAAUAGUGGGUCGAAGGAUGUAGGUUGUUAAGUAGGCAAAUCCGCUUAACGUUAGACCGAGAUCUUACAGGCUCUUGACACUCUUCGGAGGAGAUGGAGAAUCGAUGAUACUGUCGUGCC
rnacentral:rRNA from 1 species